AUCGUAGAAUUAAAAACUAAAGUGUAUCCUAAAGUGCUUUAUUGUUAAAUAUAAGCUUAAAGAAAAAAUAAUUUCUCGCAUGAAAGUCACCAAAAUUAGCUUUAGAUUAAUAAAUAAUAAUAUAUAAUUUUAAAAAUAAAAAUCGUAGUAAAUAAUCAUAUAUCGUUUACAAAAUAAUUUUUAAAAAAUAAUAUCAUUUGGAUAAUAAUUUAUGAAUGUAUGAAAUAUCUAUCCAUAGAUAUAGGUAUAGAAUCGAAUGUUAAUUAAAAAAGUAGGUGAUAAUAUGUAGUUGAUCCUUUAAAUCAAGUAGUUCAUAUCCUUAAUCGUAUAUCCUUAAAAGUAAUUUUUUUCAAUUUCAUAUUAUGUUCUGAUUUUAUAAAUUUAGUUGAUAAUAUUUAUGAUUUAAUAGAUUAAUAAAUAAUCAUAAAUCCUUGAUAAUAUGUAGUUGAUUCUAUAAAAAGUAGUUGAUAUCCUUAAUCGUAUUUUCUUAAAAUUUUAUUUUUUUCAAUUGUAUAUUAUGUUCUGAUUUUAUAAAUGUAGUUGAUAAUAUUUAUGAUUUAAUAGAUAAAAAAAUAAUCAUAAAUAUUUUUUUAAAAAAUAUCGUUAAAUACAUAAGCUAAGCUAUGUUUGUUUUUUUUUGGAGGGUUUGCUUUGGAUGCAAAGGAUGGUGGCCAUUGAACAAAUAAUGUGAGAUGAAAAGAUGAUUAAAGUAGUGGAUUAAACUCGAAGCAAUUGAAGGAGUAAGGGCUGGGGGCAGUUUGGGAGUACAAUUGUACAACAAAACAGUUGGACAAAGAUGUAAAAUGUGAUAAUAUCAUCAUAUCUACUAUGAACUAUGAAGAUUACAUUGUAAUCUGACAUGUGGGAAGAAGAUAACAGCAAUUGAGCCUCUCUCUUGGUAAGAUAUACUAGUUGUCAUCUGCCCUUUCA